rnacentral:rRNA from 1 species
UGGCUCAGGAUGAACGCUAGCUACAGGCUUAACACAUGCAAGUCGAGGGGCAUCAGGAAGAAAGCUUGCUUUCUUUGCUGGCGACCGGCGCACGGGUGAGUAACACGUAUCCAACCUGCCCUUUACUCGGGGAUAGCCUUUCGAAAGAAAGAUUAAUACCCGAUAGCAUAAUGAUUCCGCAUGGUUUCAUUAUUAAAGGAUUCCGGUAAAGGAUGGGGAUGCGUUCCAUUAGGUUGUUGGUGAGGUAACGGCCCACCAAGCCUUCGAUGGAUAGGGGUUCUGAGAGGAAGGUCCCCCACAUUGGAACUGAGACACGGUCCAAACUCCUACGGGAGGCAGCAGUGAGGAAUAUUGGUCAAUGGGCGCUAGCCUGAACCAGCCAAGUAGCGUGAAGGAUGAAGGCUCUAUGGGUCGUAAACUUCUUUUAUAUAAGAAUAAAGUGCAGUAUGUAUACUGUUUUGUAUGUAUUAUAUGAAUAAGGAUCGGCUAACUCCGUGCCAGCAGCCGCGGUAAUACGGAGGAUCCGAGCGUUAUCCGGAUUUAUUGGGUUUAAAGGGAGCGUAGGUGGACUGGUAAGUCAGUUGUGAAAGUUUGCGGCUCAACCGUAAAAUUGCAGUUGAUACUGUCAGUCUUGAGUACAGUAGAGGUGGGCGGAAUUCGUGGUGUAGCGGUGAAAUGCUUAGAUAUCACGAAGAACUCCGAUUGCGAAGGCAGCUCACUGGACUGCAACUGACACUGAUGCUCGAAAGUGUGGGUAUCAAACAGGAUUAGAUACCCUGGUAGUCCACACAGUAAACGAUGAAUACUCGCUGUUUGCGAUAUACAGUAAGCGGCCAAGCGAAAGCAUUAAGUAUUCCACCUGGGGAGUACGCCGGCAACGGUGAAACUCAAAGGAAUUGACGGGGGCCCGCACAAGCGGAGGAACAUGUGGUUUAAUUCGAUGAUACGCGAGGAACCUUACCCGGGCUUAAAUUGCAGUGGAAUGAUGUGGAAACAUGUCAGUGAGCAAUCACCGCUGUGAAGGUGCUGCAUGGUUGUCGUCAGCUCGUGCCGUGAGGUGUCGGCUUAAGUGCCAUAACGAGCGCAACCCUUAUCUUUAGUUACUAACAGGUUAUGCUGAGGACUCUAGAGAGACUGCCGUCGUAAGAUGUGAGGAAGGUGGGGAUGACGUCAAAUCAGCACGGCCCUUACGUCCGGGGCUACACACGUGUUACAAUGGGGGGUACAGAAGGCAGCUAGCGGGUGACCGUAUGCUAAUCCCAAAAUCCUCUCUCAGUUCGGAUCGAAGUCUGCAACCCGACUUCGUGAAGCUGGAUUCGCUAGUAAUCGCGCAUCAGCCACGGCGCGGUGAAUACGUUCCCGGGCCUUGUACACACCGCCCGUCAAGCCAUGGGAGCCGGGGGUACCUGAAGUACGUAACCGCAAGGAUCGUCCUAGGGUAAAAC